GAAGAGGGGAGGAGACAGAGGGAACAACGAGGACAUGAGAGGCAGGUAGAGGCAGGAGUGGCUCCUGUACGUUUCCUCUGGUUCUGCUGUGCCUGGCACCGUGCCUGACCCACGGAGGGUGUGUGAUGAGUAUCUGUCGAGUGGAUGACUGUGAGUGAGUGUUUCCUGGGAGGGACCUCUGUAGUUGAUCUGGCUGGAGAGGCUUUCUCUACCCAAGACUCAGGCGGGACUUCCCGAGUGCCUCUCAGUUGGCCUCCCCUUUCUGCAUCCCUGCCCCGUGCACUGUGUCCAGGAGUGUGUAUGCAUAAUGUUACUGCUGUCUACUUUGGACAGAAAAGGAGGCAUGUCCAAGAUUUUAGGGUGUAUUUCCUCUUAGUAAUAAGUUUACCAAAAAAAUCUGGAAGGUUUUUCCCUUAGGUCAGUGAAUGAAAAAAAAAUUCCUCUCCCGAUUUCUCCAUACCAUACUCUUUGUUAUAUGAAAACAAGUAUGCCACAUAAUGAAACAUUGUUCUCCUUGUCUUAGUGGAUUUUUUAACCCCUUUUUGCCUGUCCUUUCUCCUGUCCCUUCUGAGCAGAGUUGAAAGUUGAUACAACUUUGAUUUCUAAGCUUUGAGUUAGAAAUAAAUGGCACUUAAAAUGUGGCAAAAUGUAAACAGUUGGUGAAGGAUAAAUGGAUCCUCAUUUUGCUAUUCUUGAAACUCUUCUGGAGGUCUGAAAUUUUUUUUUCAAAUAAAAUUUGAGGUCUGACAUUUUAUUUUUUAAAUAAAAUUUAUGAUUUUGUUUAAAGAGAGAAUUAGAUGGCCUAUAUCCUGCCUGAAAGCUUACUGCAUUCACUUGCUCUUGUUACCAGUUAUAUUAGCUCAUCAGAUAUUGAAGGAAAUUGAAUGAGAAUUAUGUGUACAGCCACAUAACAAUUAGCCAAUUCUCUGGCUUGUUGUCACUGUGAAUGAAUGUUUUUGCCACAUUUCCAAACUUUCUUUAGGUAAAGGUAACUUUGAUACUUUUGUUAGAUAUUGUUGGUUAUAUAUCAUACUUUUGUUAGAGAUCACUGGUUAUAUAUGUGAGUUGAUUUUUUGGGUAAUUAGUAUUUAACCCUACCACCAGUUACCUAUAUUGCAUUUUUAUCAUGCUCAUAUGUACAUUCACCCUUUUCUCCUUCAAUUCUUCCGACCACUCUGAAAACCAGGAAUUAUCUCUACCCAACUGAAAAGUGAGAAAGCAAAAGUCAGAGAAUUAGAAUGACUUGCCCAGGAGGGAGGGGAGGCCACUAGGUAGGUAGCAGAACUGAGUCUAGGGCUCCUGACUCCAAAUGCGGUGUACGCCCACCACCCUCUUGGUCAGUUUCAAAAAUGCACGAGAGAGAAAACAGCACAAUUCACACCCAUGCCCCUCACCCAGAUUCAGUGACCGUCAGAAUCUACCUCAUUUUCUUCUUUUUCCUCUCAUUAAGUGUCUUAACUCUAGAUACUGUCACUUCACUCCUACAUACAGCAGUUGGCAUCUCCAAGCAUACUGGGUAUUUAUUUUCUUACAUAACCACAACAGCAUGGGCAAGAAAAAAAUGACAGUUCCACAGAAUUACCUAAUAGUUAUCCAUAAUAAAAUUCCCCCAAUGGUCUCAAAAGUAUCUUUUUAGAGCUGGUCUGUUUGAAUAAGGAUUCAGACAGCACCCACAUGUCACAUUUGGUUGUUAGACUCCUUCAGACCCCACCAGUCUAGACAGUGUCCUUCUUCUUUUGUUCAUGCUAUUGACUUGCCCAGAUCUGUUUUACUUUCACUGAAGUGCUGAAAAUAUGUGGAUAUGAGAACAUUCUCUGCCCCUUCCAUAGUAAAGCCUGAGGGGAACUGUAAUUUAGUCUAAUCUGUUCUUUUUCUGUUGUUGGAGAGUGAUGGUUACUAUUGAUUCUCUAGCUGGCUUUUGCCACUGUGUUAAAAAAAUCUUUAACACAGUAUAAAGGAAUUAAGCUGAAACUACCCAAGUAGCCACUGUAGGACACACUGAGGAAUCUGAGGCUUUCUUCUCUCUGUUGAGGGCCACAUGGAGUCUCCUUUCUCCUGAGUUCUCAGAGCAUUUAAUGGCAGCCUGCCCACUUGACAUCCAUCACAGACUUUAAUGCAUAAAGACUGUGUGCACGGGCUUUAGAGCCAGGCAAAUAGGAGUGUGUGGCCUUGGACACGGCACUUUCGACAUCACUGAGCCUCAGUGUCCUCUCGUGAGGGUGGCAGUGUGCCAGUGCCUGCCCUCAUGGAUCCUGUGCAGAUGACUGAGAUGAUGAGGGCACAGUGACUCCCCGGCACUCUCGUUAGUGCAGGGAUCUCUUCACGUGUCUGUCGCAUGGUGUGGCCUAGUCUCCAUCUCCUAUGAUUUCAUCUCCUCCUCGUCCUCUCUCCUGGGCUCACGUGGCCCCAGCCACACUCACCUCCUGCUGUCCUCCAACACACCAGGCUCACUCCUGUGUCAGGGCCUUGGCAGUGGCUGUUUCCCUGGCCCAGAAUGUGCUUCCUUUCUAUAAAAGCAUGGUUUAUACUUCAAGUGUUUGCUCAGAUGUCAUGUUUUCAACAAGCUCUACUCAGACCUCCCUAUUUAAGCCUGCAACUCACCCCUCCAGCUCCCAAUCUCCCUCACUCUGCUCUCCUCUUACCCCUUCCCCUCAGCCCUGUUACCUCCCAACACACUAUUAUUUCCUUAUUAUUGUAUCAUUUACUAUAUGUCUCCUCACAUGAGAACACCAGCUCCAAGGGGGCAGGGUUCCUUGGUUUGUUCACUGAUAACACUGCAAGCACCUAGAGCAGUAUCUGGUAUAUAUAAUAGGUUUGAAGAAAUAUUUAUUGUGUAAAUAAGUAUCUAUACUUUGAGCUCCCUGAGGACAGAGGGGUCUCCUUCUUCAGUGCCCACCCUGAACUGCUGCUGCAGGGUCUCUAGCCCAGGAGUCUCAGCUCAGGCUACAUAUCAGACAUCCCUGGGAACCUCUGAAGAACACUGAUGCCUGAGCUCCUUCCCCACACUGCAAUUUACUUAGCCUUGGGUGGGACCCUGUACUAGUAUUUUUAAAAAGCUCCUCAAGGGAUUCUUAGAGAAGGUUGUGUUUUCCUGGGUGUCUAGGAGCAGAGCAGUUGGUCAUCCAGGAUGAACCAGGCUUGUGAACAUUUUCAUCCCUAAAUGCUGGCUCCUCUGAGCUGCUGAGGGAGCUGUCCCCGUCAGCACCAGCAGACACUUACAUGGGGAGAAUCACCAGCUUCUGUCCCUGCUACCCCAGCCUGCUAGAGCUGGAAGGACUCACAGAGCCUCCUGGCUGCCCACACCCCCCUCCUAUGGCUUCAACCCUUUACUAUGGGCAGAUUCCUUAGCUGUCAGGUCAAGGGUGUCCCAAGAAGUGCCAAGCCUCCUCUCUUACAAGCCUGCAUUCAAUUCCACAGACAACUCCUGACCCUUCUCCUAGUCCAGGCCCUGUGGUAGAUGACAGUGUGUCAGACAGAGGAGAUGGAUGGCUUGAUGAGCUGAUGCAAAGGAGAAAGGUACUGGGUCUGUGCUCUGGACACAGGGCUGGAGGAGGCUGGAAGAGAAGGUGAAUGACACACCCUGAGGAAAGCUUUGGGGAGGCUCUGGGGCACAGGCGUCACUAGAAUGGAGCCCUGAGGAGUGAAGGGGCUGCUGAGAUGGAAAGGGUGUUCCAGGGAGAGGCAGGGAGGGAAGGGGCAGGGGGUACUUCUGGAGUCGGUGUAAGCAGGGACUGGAACUCCAUGCCCAGUGGACUGGACGGCUCGAAAGCCCAAGGCCAUGCUCAGGCCUCGUCUGUUCUAUAUCGCUCGCUGUUGCUCCUCCCUCCUUGUCCACCUGGACCUGCCCACCCCAAGUCCAUCCAGUUCCUCCCUCUCCCUGGAGGCCUGUGUCAGCACAGCCAGCCUUGUGGUCUUCGAGUAACAGCACAGAAGCUCUGGAGAGCUUUCUACUCAGCACACUGCUGGAUCCCAUGUCAAGGGCUCCGUGCGUACUGCCUCAUGUAUGUCACUUGGCAACCUGAGGGAAGCAUGACAAUUGCCCCUUCUUACAGAGGAGAAAGCCAAGGUUUGGAGAGGGGCCAGUUCGUCACGUGGCCAAGCUGUCCACCUAGGGAUGGUAACAUCAGGGUUGGAACCUAGGGAGUCCUGCCCGAGACUUGCUUAUAUGUUUACCCUCUGCAGAGAACUGUCUCCAUCCUUUCCCACUGCAGGCACUGGUUUUCUAUACAGUCCUGUGUAACGCCAGUGCUGUGUUUUAUCUCAGCACACAGGCUGCAGGCCCUUGAAAGGCAGGAACAAGAUUCAGCUCUCCUCUUACGUCUGCAAAAGUAUCAGCCCAGUUUGGAGACACGCUAUAGCUGUGCAUUACAGAUGCUAACUGAAUCAAGAGGCUGCACAGAACAGCAAGGAACAGCCUGGGCUAAGGAAACCAGUCUCCCACUUCUGUCCUUUGCAGUCUCUUCUCUACACAAGGGGGAGCCCAUUAGAAAUCUGAGUUGGAUGGUGCAGCACACCCGCGGAAACCUUCUAAGUCUUCACCAGCGCUGGGCCCUAAUGACACCUGUCUGGCUUCAUCUCCAUGCUCCCUCCAACCCAGCCUCGUGUCCUCUCCACCGAGGGACUCUGACAUGGUGCUUGCCUCUAUUUGGGUGGCUCUUCCUCAUCUUGGACAGGUCACCUGUCUCUCCAGCUAGAAUGUGAGCUCCAUAGGAGCAGCAAGUAUGUUCACCGUAGGACCCCCAGCAUCCUGAACAGUGCCGGCCCUUGUCCUUAAACCAACUCAGCUUCCAUGAAAGUUUUACGCUGUAGGAGAUCUAAGAGUUCGGACGGCUCCAGGCCACAGCAGGUGAGUCAGCUGGCCUGAGCUCGAAUCCUGGCUCAGCACUUUCUAGGAAUUAGAGCUCAAGCAGGUCACUGCACCUGUCUGUACCUCCAUUUCUUCAUCCACAGAAUAGCUUAUUAAGAAUAGUAACUACCUUGCAGGGUUAUAACAAGUGAGUGCUUGUACAGUGCUCAGCGGGGAGUAAUUGUGCCAUGAACACUAGGGGCUCCCAGCCCUCCCGUGGGGGCUCUUUUGUCAAUGCACCUCUAGCCCUAAAGCUUCUAUCUAGGUUUCCCCCGUUUGUCAUCACUCACGAGCGGAUGCAGGAAUUGUGAACCGCUUGGGGAUAAUGUCC